rnacentral:lncRNA from 1 species
CUAUUAUCUAUAUGUGUGUGUGUGUUUGUGUUUACGUGCUUAAUAAACCCUAUUUAUAAAGGGCAGAAGUUUGCUGAAUGAGCAUUUAGAGCGACCCAACAAUUGUGAUUGAGGGAAACGGGCUGGACGUCCCAUCACUAAACACUUGCUGAUUCAUAAUCUGCAUUUUUAUUUGCCCAGUUUGAAAUGUUUGGAUUAGAUCAAUUCUUGACCUCAUCGCUCAGCUUCCGGGUCCUUCAUUAAAGACGCUGAAACAUCUGGAGUCUCGUCCUCGUUGUGUCUUGAACAAAGACAUGUUCAGACUGUGUUAGUCUGCAGGCCGCUGAGCUGAUCUCCAAUGAAAAACAGACCUGCUGGCAAAUCAAAACAUCCUUUCCAGAAUUAAACAUAUUACCACAGGAAUAAACAAUCCGCUCCGAUGACCAGGGAUUGCUGUCUGCACUCGGCAUGCUGAUCGAAAGAAACGAUAUCACUAGCACUGUGAACACAUCUCGCUUUUAUAUUUGCAGAAGUAGAGGACCUGAAGGAGAACAGGCAGUACAGAGGGAGCAGAGAGAGUCUAAAACAUUGAUUUUUUUACCAUUUUUUAAUCAUAUUUUUCAUCGUGAACACAUCUCGCUUUUAUAUUUCCUGAAGAGAAGGACCUGGAGGAGAACCGGGAGGACAGAGGGGGCAGAGAGUGUCUAAAACACUGUUUUUCUUUUACCACUUUUUUCCAUCGUGGACACAUCUCGCUCUUUCAUAUUUGCAGAAGAAGAGGACCUGAAGGAGAACAGGGAGGACAGAGGGAGCAGAGAGAGUCUAAAACAUUGGUGUGUGACACUAUAAAUUAAUAAAAUACAGUAGUUUACUGUAAAAUAUUAGAUUUUCAGGGUUUCUACAACUUUAACUAAAAUUCUGGCAGCUUAUCAAAAUAAGUUAAAGCAGCAUAAAAAUAUUUGUUGUCAUAACACUUUUUACGGUGUAGUUUACUGUAAUUGUUUGGUGUUUUGAUAGUUUUUACCGCUUUUUUUUACGGUAAACCUUCUGGAUUUUUAAAUGUUGUGAUUGGAUAUAUACCUCAGUCAUGUGACA